AAGGUGGGGACCUACGGGCCUAUCGCCUGAAGAUGAGUCCGCGUCCCAUUAGCUAGUCGGUGGGGUAAUGGCCUACCAGUGCGACGAUUGGUAGCCGGCCUGAGAGGGUGUACGGCCACAUUGGGACUGAGAUACGGCCCAGACUCCUACGGGAGGCAGCAGUUAAGAAUCUUGCGCAAUGGGCGAAAGCCUGACGCAGCGACGCCGCGUGGACGAUGAAGGCCUUCGGGUUGUAAAGUCCGGUAAGCAGGGAAGAAUAUGUGUAAAGUAAUAUCUUGCACGAUGACGGUACCUGCCUAGGGCCCCGGCUAACUACUUGCCAGCAGCCGCGGUAAUACGUAUGGGGCAAGCGUUGUUCGGACUUCUUGGGCAUACAGGGCGUCUACGCGGGGUGACUAAGUUAGGUGUGAAAGCCAUGGGCUCAACCCAUGAAUUGCACCUAAAACUGGUUUCCUUGAGUUCGGGAGAUGAGAGCGGAAUUCCCGGUGUCGCGGUGACAUGCGUAGAUCUCGGGAAGGACACCAGUGGCGAAGGCGGCUCUCUGGCCUAGAACGGACGCUGAAGCGCGAAAGCGUGGGGAGCGAACGGGAUUAGAUACCCCGGUAGUCCACGCCGUAAACGUUGUGUACUAGGUGCUAGUGGCUUGACCACUAGUGCCGUCGCAAACGCAUUAAGUACACUGCCUGGGGAGUACGUCAGCAAGGAUGAAACUCAAAGAAAUUGACGGGGGCCCGCACAAUCGGUGGAGCAUGUGGUUUAAUUCGAUGAUACGCGAAGAACCUUACCUGGGAUUGAACUGUACUUGAUCGGUGUAGAGAUACACCCUCCUUCGGGCAGGUGCAGAGGUGCUGCAUGGUUGUCGUCAGCUCGUGUCGUGAGAUGUUGGGUUAAGUCCCGCAACGAGCGCAACCGUUACCCCUUGUUGCCAUCAGGUAAUGCUGAGCACUCUAGGGGAACUGUCGGUGAUAAACCGGAGGAAGGUGGGGAUGACGUCAAAUCAUCACGGCCAUUAUGUCCAGGGCAUACACACGUGCUACAAUGGCCGGUACAAUGAGUUGCGAGACCGCGAGGUGGAGCUAAUCUCAAAAACCCGGUAUCAGUUCGGAUUGCAGUCUGCAACUCGACUGCAUGAAGCUGGAAUCGUUAGUAAUCGCGGAUCAGCAC
rnacentral:rRNA from 1 species